rnacentral:snRNA from 1 species
AUCGCUUCUCGGCCUUUUGGCUAAGAUCAAGUGUAGUAAAAAAAAAAAAAAAGACUUUAAAGGCAACUUUUUUUUAAAAAAAAGAUAAAAUGACUAUCAUUUUAUGGCGUCAUUUUGUAAGAAAUAAUGUUUGAUGCACUCAGA